GAGCUGACAAGGAGCCCUGACAAAGAAGGAGCAACAAGCAGGAGAAGAAGUCAGAGCUGUGAAGAACUGCCCCCAAGAAGUAUCACUGAGAAGGAUGGGUGUUAUGCUGGUUCUGUAAUAUGGCAUGAGGAUGAAAUCUUCCACCUUCAUGAAACAUUUUGCUUUCUCCUCGUUGCCAUUUGUGUGGGAUCGCUGAAACACUUGCAGACCAUUCAAGGCCAGACUUUGGCCUAUUUUACAAGAAGAGUUAGCUGAUCUUGUCUUUGAAGUCUGGAAGCACUGCUGCAGAGAUUGGCUGUUAAAGGAAGGAGGCACAGUGCCUGCUUAUGGGAAGAGAUUAGAAACUCAGGCAUGGAAACAAAGCAGCUCCAUGCUGUUUCUAGUCUCUUUAAAGGCAGCCAAGUGCAGAAACAAUCUUUGCUGAGAAGGAACAAGUAGCAAUGACUCUUCACUACACAUUCUACUUUUAACUUUUCUGCGGCUUCCUUAAAGGAGAGCAACCGAAGGCCUACAAGCUUUGAAAAAAACAGUUAUGAAGAAGAUUCUUAUUGAUACUAUGGGGUUUUUUGAAAUACUGAUGUUUGACAUAAAUGUUACAGAGUUUUGUGAAAUAACAAAAUACAAAAAAUAUUUAAAGAAGCCAUAGAUGCUUCCAGCUGAGUGCUAGGGCAUCCUGACCGCAGAUCUGGAACUACAAAAAACAAGUCAUAAACCUCUGGACCUUGGAAUUAAGAAAUCUGGCUCAAAAAGGCAAAACCUAUCUCUUCAUCCAUAGUUAAGAGUUACGCCUUUUUCACAAUUGUAUAUGCAGAAGAAAGACACAUUUUGUUGAAUAAAUGUCAGCUUAGGACAAUAAACAAUGCUUACCUGAAGCAAAAACAACUGAUGCAGUUGGAAAAGUGUGAAGGACAUUGAGGAAUAAAAUGAUCAUCAAGCUUGAGACAAAUGCA